rnacentral:snoRNA from 1 species
UCUGAAAGAUUUUGUUAAUUCAAUUCGUGAAUGUACUUCAUCUGGCAAUUAUCCUUUUGCUAAUGAAAUUCUGAAUAGUUUAUCUGAUGAUAUCAUUGAGAAAGGUGUUUGGACAGAA